CUCCUACUCCCUCCGUUCGGAAUUACUUGUCGCGAAAAUGGAUGUAUCUAGAUGUAUUUUAGUUCUAGAUACAUCCAUUUCCAAGACAAGUAAUUUCGAACGGAGGGAGUGGCUA
rnacentral:pre_miRNA from 1 species